ACCUGCCCACUGAUUAAUUNAAUGGCCGCAGUAAUUUGACUGUGCAAAGGUAGCAUAAUCAUUAGUUUUUUAAUUGAAAGCUUGUAUGAAUGGUUGGACGAGAUAAAAUCUGUCUCUAUUUAAANUAUUUUAGAAUUUUAUUUUUAAGUUAAAAAGCUUAAAUNUAUAUAAAAGACGAGAAGACCCUAUAGAUCUUUAUAUUUUUUUAUAUAAUUUUAUUAAAGAAUUUUUUAAUUUUUAUAUAUAUAAAUAUUUUAUUGGGGUAAUAAAAAGAUUUAUUAAAUUCUUUUUUUUAUUUGAUAUAGAUUAAUAGAUAUUUGAUCCAAUAUAUUUUGAUUAUAAGAUUAAGUUACCUUAGGGAUAACAGCGUAAUUUUUUUUGAGAGUUCAUAUCGAUAAAAAAGUUUGCGACCUCGAUGUUGGAUUAAAAAUUAUUUUAGGUGUAGAAGUCUAAAAAUUUGGUCUGUUCGACCAUUAAAUUUU
rnacentral:rRNA from 1 species